CACACGCAGGCGUUCGGCAGGUGCGGGUCAAUCCCCGCUACUCGCCGUUCCGGUCCCUUCGGGGAAUUGCCUGCGGAGGUCGAACCGGAAGAAGGAACAAGG
rnacentral:sRNA from 1 species